rnacentral:tRNA from 1 species
GGUUCCAUAGUGUAGUGGUUAGCAUGUCUGCAUUACAUGCAGAGGGGCCUGGGUUCGCAUCCCAGUGGAACCA